rnacentral:rRNA from 1 species
UACGUAGGGGGCUAGCGUUGUCCGGAAUCAUUGGGCGUAAAGCGCGUGUAGGCGGUCCGGUAAGUCCGCUGUGAAAGUCGGGGGCUCAACCCUCGAAAGCCGGUGGAAACUGUCGGGCUAGAGUGCGGAAGAGGCGAGUGGAAUUCCUGGUGUAGCGGUGAAAUGCGCAGAUAUCAGGAGGAACACCAAUGGCGAAGGCAGCUCUCUGGGACGGUACUGACGCUGAGACGCGAAAGCGUGGGGAGCGAACAGG